UCUACCAAAGGAUUUCAAAGGAAAAGAAGGAAGAGGGCCAUUAACUCCAUUCAACCAACUCUUCCCAGCAUUAAAGGAGUCUCCUUCAGUCUUCAAGUCUUCAAGACAUUCAAGAGAAGACCCCGAGUUCCAGAAGCCCUCCCUUACAUCUUCAUAAAUUUGUUUGAGGGCUCUUAACUUCUCUCUUAUUUAUAUCGCUGUAUAUCUGCUUGUUUAGAAGCUUUAUUUUUCUGUUUGUGUUUGUUCAAACCGUUUGUUCCUUACUUGAUUCAAUCAGGAGAUUGAAUCAAGGGUGUAAAGGUUUGUUGGUGAGCCUAGGUUGAAACCAACGUGUAAGGGUUUGAUUGUGAGCCCGGGAAAACAAUCGGGUGGUUCUAGUCGGUGAGCCUGGAAAAACCGACCGAGUUCGUUGUGAUCUCGCAAAACAACAAGUUAGGUUGUGAGCUUGUAAAACAACCGGCUGUAAUCCGAGGGGUUAUAGUAAAUUCCCAAGUGAGGCUUGGGGAGUGGACGUAGGAGCAAGGGUUAGCUCCGAACCACUAUAAAUUCCUUGUGUUUGUGAUUGCUUAGUUGUCUCUUACCUUCAUUUCAUUCACUGCAUAUAGCAUCUAAUUAAUCAAC
rnacentral:lncRNA from 1 species